UACGUAGGGUGCGAGCGUUGUCCGGAAUUAUUGGGCGUAAAGAGCUCGUAGGCGGUCUGUCGCGUCGGUCGUGAAAACUUGGGGCUUAACCCCGAGCUUGCGGUCGAUACGGGCAUGACUGGAGUUCGGCAGGGGAGACUGGAAUUCCUGGUGUAGCGGUGAAAUGCGCGGAUAUCAGGAGGAACACCGGUGGCGAAGGCGGGUCUCUGGGCCGAUACUGACGCUGAGGAGCGAAAGCGUGGGGAGCGAACAGG
rnacentral:rRNA from 1 species